UAGGGAAUCUUCGGCAAUGGACGAAAGUCUGACCGAGCAACGCCGCGUGAGUGAAGAAGGUUUUCGGAUCGUAAAACUCUGUUGUUAGAGAAGAACAAGGACGUUAGUAACUGAACGUCCCCUGACGGUAUCUAACCAGAAAGCCACGGCUAACUACGUGCCAGCAGCCGCGGUAAUACGUAGGUGGCAAGCGUUGUCCGGAUUUAUUGGGCGUAAAGCGAGCGCAGGCGGUUUCUUAAGUCUGAUGUGAAAGCCCCCGGCUCAACCGGGGAGGGUCAUUAGAAACUGGGAGACUUGAGUGCAGAAGAGGAGAGUGGAAUUCCAUGUGUAGCGGUGACAUGCGUAGAUAUAUGGAGGAACACCAGUGGCGAAGGCGGCUCUCUGGUCUGUAACUGACGCUGAGGCUCGAAAGCGUGGGGAGCAAACAGG
rnacentral:rRNA from 1 species